AGCCUGAAUGCAAAUCACUGGACUUACAUCAGCAUCCGAACCAAAACACACAAGGGCAAACGUGGAGCCUGACAACCAAUUGAUGGAAUUAUGUCAGCAUCCGAACCCAAAACACACUCAAAAGGGCAAACAUGGAGCCCGACAACCAAUUGAUGGAAUUAUGUCAGCAUCCGCACCCAAAACACACAACAGCAUGCAACAAGAAGAAGGGUCUCGAUUGCAACUAGGGCAAGAGAAGG
rnacentral:lncRNA from 1 species